rnacentral:rRNA from 1 species
GACGAACGCUGGCGGCGUGCCUAACACAUGCAAGUCGAGCGAUGAAGCUUCCUUCGGGAAGUGGAUUAGCGGCGGACGGGUGAGUAACACGUGAGCAACCUGCCUCAAAGAGGGGGAUAGCCUUCCGAAAGGAAGAUUAAUACCGCAUAAAGUCACGGAUUCGCAUGUUUCUGUGACCAAAGGAGUAAUCCGCUUUGAGAUGGGCUCGCGGCGCAUUAGCUAGUUGGUAAGGUAACGGCUUACCAAGGCGACGAUGCGUAGCCGACCUGAGAGGGUGAUCGGCCACAUUGGGACUGAGACACGGCCCAGACUCCUACGGGAGGCAGCAGUGGGGAAUAUUGCGCAAUGGGCGAAAGCCUGACGCAGCAACGCCGCGUGGGUGAUGACGGUCUUCGGAUUGUAAAACCCUGUCUUCAAGGACGAUAAUGACGGUACCUGAGGAGGAAGCCACGGCUAACUACGUG